UAGACACGAGCUCAAACUAAACAUUCACCACUUGCUGAUCACUCCUGAAAUAGAGUGAGGACAAGGCAUGGUCCGACUGGUCAUUCCAAUCUCUUCGACGAACUGAACCAAGACAGGACACGGUUCUACUGGAUGAACAGGUGUGAUCUUUUAAGAUUAUCUCAACCACUGACCUGGAACAGAGCAGUUCGGUAUAGAUGAUCAUUAAUCCAAUAUUUCGGUUGUGAAGAAGCAACUUAAAUCAGGCUAGUUCGGUUCAGGAUAAGCUUUAUCAUUUCAGUUCGAGGAAAGUUCAUCUUGGUUUAGUCAAGAUCAAACCAAAAUCAAUUCAGUUUAUAAUAAAAUUAAUUUAGUUCGGAUUAAUUCCAAUCAGCUCAUGUCAGAUUAGUUAACAGUUCCAUGAGACUGAUUCAAUCCAAAACUAAACUAAACUGAACUGUACAAGAGCUUAGCCAACUGAUCCAUAGAGUAGCUUACGAUAUCAUCAAUUGGUUCUGUUCAGAACAUGACUGAAGCUACAAACUGAUGCUUACCACAACAACUGACAGUUAGAUAAUCUCGGUUGGAACUUCUCUCCAAACUUUACUCAUGGUUGUAC
rnacentral:lncRNA from 1 species